CCCUUAGAUGUUCUGGGCCGCACGCGCGCUACACUGAUGCAUUCAACGAGUUUCUUCCUGGUCCGAGAGGAAUGGGUAACCUUUUGAAAGUGCAUCGUGAUAGGGAUAGACUAUUGCAAUUAUUGGUCUUCAACGAGGAAUUCCUAGUAGACGUAGUUCAUCAGACUGCAUCGAUUACGUCCCUGCCCUUUGUACACACCGCCCGUCGCUCCUACCGAUUGAAUGCUCAGGUGAGCCAUUCGGUCUUUCAUCAUGCUGGUUUCCAGUUUUGAUGAAGGAAAGUCUUGCGAACCUUAUCAUUUAGAGGAAGGAGAAGUCGUAACA
rnacentral:rRNA from 1 species